UGUGAAUCUGCAUGCUUAUGUUCCACUGGUGACGUUUGAUGUCUUUUCUUUUUUGUUUUGUUUCUGGUUGAAAGCAAAAAACAUCAGCAACCUCUCUCCUUUGCUAACUAGGUGGGGUAAUAUUGACUGUGACGUGAUCUGUGGUUGACACAUCAUCACUAUCAAACCUCGUACAAAGAACUGGUUAAAAGAAGCCUUAAAUCAUAAAUAGAUAAAACAUCGUUGAGAAACAUCAGGACAAGCUCUACGUACAACUCAAGUGUCACGAAGCUGCAAAUCGGAUCAAACAAUGAGCUUAACUGUACCAUCGGUCAUUCUUAAAAUUUUUCAAAUUGUUACACUUGUCGCUGGUUUGGUAUCUCAUUAAAACCCACUUUUGCAAUUAUUAACAAAACUCGAUGUCGAGUAUAAAAAGCAAGAGGAAGAGCUUUUUCAUAAUCCAAUGUUAAUACUUAACAACAUUUGCUUAACAUUAAUAUUUAGCUACUGUUGGAAACAAGACAGGAAUUCACGCAUUUGAUUUCAACAACCAAAAAAUAUUUUAAUUGUCGUCUGUAGCCACUUAGCUUUAAAUAGUUAAUUGAGUUAUUUGUAUUUCGAUUUGAAAUGU